AUGCCAUGAUGUGGGCAUUUUCUUCACGGCUCUUUAAACCUCUCUCAUGCAUCAGGAACAACUUCAUCAUCCAUUUGUUUAAAAAGACAAAUUUCAAUUUUGGACUU